AUGAUCACCUUCCCGGGUAAAAAUACCCGCCCUACCUAUCUCAUCAGGCACUUCUGCAACGCUGAGGAGGGCAUCCAAAAUUACGUCCGCAACCUCACCUCCUCCUACAUCGACACCAGGAAUGAGUCGUCCAUGGUGUCCGCCUCCGUCAUCAUGUUCCUCCUCGUCGGCCUCUCCUUCAACCUCAACCUCUUCAGUCGCUUCUCCGACGUCAGCGCCACCCUCGACCCCAAGGUCCGCAUCUUCCUCUCCUCCGCAUUCUCCCUCUUCCUGCCUGUCAUGUCCUACCUCUUCUCCGAAGCCAAGAACGCCAGCUCCGAUGCUGCGGACAACGGCGGCGACCUCUCGCUACAGGCCGGUAUGAUCCUCCUGUGGAUGCUGCUGGUUGAGCUCCUCCGCAAGAAGGUGGACGAGGUCCGCAUGCACGGCUACUCUAGCAGCAUCCAGCGUGCCGGCCGUGUGGUCUGGCUGGGCAGCCUCGUCUUCUUCAACAUCCGGAGAGCCGGCCGGAAGGCCCUCUUCGGCGUCCUUUGGGUGCUCUGCGCAACAAAGGUGGUGCAGAGGAUCGCCUUCACUGAGAUUGGCAAGCGAUCCUAUGCCUACGGCAAAAACACGCGCCUCAUCACCUCCUACAUGUCACAAAUGCUGCAGAAAAAUGGAUCAAAGGACCAGCAAGAGCAACACCAAUAUUGUUCCCCAUCGACCCACAUCGAUGUGGAUUCCUCGGUGGUGACUGAUGUAAACCAUGGUGGUGGAGGUGAGGCCAUGUUGAAGAGGUGCAAGUUCGUCGUCAUGGGUGAAGAGGACUUGGUUAUACAACCUAGUCCAGACGGCUACAAGUUGAAGGAUGUCUCCCCAGACGAUAAUGUCGCCACCGUUGGAAAAAUUUGGUGUAAUGCAUGCAGCAACCUCGAUCAAGGCCCGCGGCUUAAGAGGUUGUGCUUGUCCUUCGGGCUCUUCAAGCUUCUGCGGCGUAGGUUCGAGCACCUCCCGCCAGUGAUUGAUGUGGAUGCCGAGACUCGUGAGUGUCGUGGCUUACUCUUCAAUGGUGUUUACAACGAAAGGACAGAGGAUGCGGCGGAGGCACUCUUCCAGAUGAUGAAUGAUGAGGUGAACUUCCUCUGCGAGUACUACCACUCUGUCAUCCCCGUCGUCCUUGCAAGCCCUUUCUUCUUCCUUGCCAACUACAUCCUACUACCUGUGGUGGUGUCCGGCCUCUGCAUCAUGACCAUCAUCCUCUCUAGCUUUGGCAAUGUGCUCUUUGCCUUAUCUAGCAUCAGGGCGGAUAACUUUGCCAUCUCGGCUGGGGUCAUUAACACCACCAUGUGUCUUCUCAUCGAGGCCUUCUAUUGGCCCCCCGCUUUCUUCACAGCAGUCAACUUUUUCAUCACCUUCUUCCUCUUGGUGAUCUUCUUCUUCGAGGAGAUAUGGGAGUUCAUCAUCUUCCUGUUCUCAGACUGGUUCAUGGUAUCAUUGCUAUGCCACUACGUGACAAAGCCCCAAUGGCAGAGUAGCCCAAUGUACAGUGGCGCUGUUCGUCGCAUCCUAUGGGUACAGAGCAAGCUGAGUCGCCCUAUUCUUAACUUCAAGCAGUUCUCAAUGCUAAACAUCCGGUGGCCACUCGUCCUCAGCAUGCCAUCCAUGUUCUCUCUACUAGUGCAAACGGUGCCUGUGCCAAAAAAAGCAAAGCAUUCCAUCGUUGAAUCCCUCGUGGCACACAUCCGUGAUGGUCGUGAAACCCCUCUCAACAAUGGCAAGUCUGCACUUGUGGGCUGGCCAGAUGAUCUCAUGCCAGCCUGCAGGAGCAACAGCGUCGCGGAGGUCAUUCUCACUUGGCACGUCGCCACCUCCAUCAUGGAGGCCAAGUGCCCUCCGCAGGAUGGUAGACAGAGCAAGGACUCGCACACUGUGGCGACGAGCCUAUCCAGGUACUGUGCCUACCUAGUGGCCUUUCACCCGACGCUCCUCCCUGAAAACCCCGACAAUACGGAGCGUGUCUUCGAGGCAGCCAAGGCGGAACUCAAGGGCGUGCUCGGCUGUGCCAGCUACUACCUCUCGUGGUGGCACACUAGGGUCGAUAAGAUCAUGCAGGCGGUGGUAGAGGUGGCCACAAUGACAGAAUGGAAGGACGGCGAGGUGGUAUUCAAUGCUGCCAAGCUGGGGAUACUGUUGAAGGAAGAAGCUAUGAGGGACAAUGGCGUCGGGUGGGAGCAGACAUGGAAGCUGCUUGCCGACGUCUGGACUGAGCUCGUCGUUUACCUCGCACCGUCAAACCAAGAGGAGCGUGUGAUGGGGCAUGAGAGCGUGCUGGUGCAAGGUGGAGAGUUCAUCACCAUGCUUUGGGCUUUGACCACACACACUGGCAUAACGCGCCCGGAGAAGUAG
rnacentral:rRNA from 1 species